UCUCACAAUCUACCAUUUCAAGAAUAAUUUAUCGUGUUUCAACUUUAUUAACUAGCAAUAUUAAUCGAUAUAUCAGAAUACCCAUUUCUGAUGAAGCAAAAUCUGAAAACAAAACGAUUAUUUAAACAACUUGGUUGUGGUCCUGGAGCUAUUGGUUUUCCUAAUAUAGAUGGAGCAAUUGAUUGCACUCAUGUACGUUUAGUACAUACAAAAUUGCAGAAUAUCGAAGAAAUAUUUAGAAAUAGAAAAGGAUAUUUUUCUUUAAAUGUUCAAGCUGUUGUUGGGCUACGAACAGGAUAUAGUUCCUGAAUGGCCAGGAAGUUAACAUGACAGCAGGAUUUUUCAAAAUUCACGGGUUUAUAUGCGAUAUACACAGCGGGAAUUACAGGGUAUGCUAGUCGGAGAUGUUAUGGAUAUCCAGCAUUACCCUUUUUUACUCACUCCGAUUGCUAAAGCUACAACUGAUGAGGAAAUAAGUUACAAUGCAAUGCUUGAAAGAACCAGAAGGAUAUAGUGGAAAGAACAUUUGGCAUAUGAAAACGAAGAUUUCCAUGUUUAUCAAAAGGACUUACAACAAGACUUAUAACCUCCACUACAAUUGUAGUUGCCUGUGCUGUCGUUCAUAAUCUAUCCUUGAUUUUUAAGGAUGUACUUGAAGACGAAGAAGAAAUAGAAAACGAUGAUAUCGAUGAAGUUGUUCCUGUAAACGAACCUCACUGGCAACCUGGAGAAGGCUUCAUUGUGCGAAAUGCUCUCAU